UUGCCAGUUUGGUCUUUUACGACCAAAUUUGGUCAUUAUUUUCUUACUUGGUUGCAUGGUCAUUUUUUUUUCCAUUUGUUCCUUUUUUCUAAGAAAUUGAAAAAAAAAAUAACUUGACUCUAUUUCUUUCAUAUUUUCAAAAAUGAAAGCAUACCUUAAUUGCUUUUCAUCUAAUAUAAACGGUGCAUAAUUGAACGCACCCCAUAAAAAAUACAUGAAACACGAUCAUUGAAUGCACACACUGAAUGCAUUCAUUUCACAAUUUAUUGACAGAUUUUUUUCAACAUUUUAAAAUCGCAUACCUAAACAAACCUGUAAGCUGUAAAGUACUUUGUGUGCAGCUCUUUCUCGUUUUUUCCAACAAAUAAGUAAUGGAUAGGUUUGUUAUUAAAAAGCCAAGGACUGAGUCGGCAGUAGAAAGUUCCACAAAUGCAGAUGAGCCGUCAUCUUCAAGCAAUUGUGAUCAAAAUGUGGACCAAAAAAAACACGAAGCGGAGAGAAAAUUUAGACAGGAAUGGCUACAAAAAUUCAAUUGGCUUAACCAUAAAGCUGACAAAAGCUUUUGUGCUGCUUGUGACAAAAUUUUAACCAACCA